rnacentral:lncRNA from 1 species
GAAUUAUCUCUUUAGGAGCUGAGAAAACAUUGCUUUGAUGAACAUAGAUGCAUAGAAAAUAAUUUGGGCAUGUUUGCUUCAUUUGAUAAAAUUUUAAGUUUUCUUUUUUCCUACAUUAUUUGAUAAUUUUGGCAACUUUGAUUGUAUAAAUCAAAAGCCAGCUAAAUGUAACUUUUAAAAAUAGAUUUUUAAGAAAUAUUUAGACUUUUUUCUUUAAAUUUAGACCCUCCACUUACCCCAAAGGGGCUGGGGGAGAUGCACUAGACAGUAUUUUGGGUGCAGAAAAAACUGGUGACCAGUGGGAACGAAGAGAAAAGGAAGAAAAAGAGAAAUAUAACAAGUUUAUAAAUUGAUAACCGUACAUUUUCUGUGAAUUAAGGUGGGCAAAAAAAUGUCUGUUUUGUAUUUUAUAUAGAGCCAGCUUAAAGAAUUCUGGCAAUGAGGAGGAUGGAUAGCCACCUCAAAGCCAUAGGAUCUUUAGCUAUUAAGGAUUUUUCUCAAUCUGGAAAAGUUUGAGAGUGAGCCUCAUUGAAUUGAUGAAAGGGGAUUUUUAAAAAUUAUUCGUCGUCAUCAGUCAUCCUCAUCAUCAGAGUUUAUUCUCUUAACCAGGCCAUUCUCUAAAGGAAUGCUGAGGAAAGAAUAUUUAUUAUUAUUUACUUACCUUAUCCUUUUUGUGUGUUUCUUAACCUUAUGAAAGAAUGUCCAAACAGAUCAUGUUUUUUACUAAAAAUAAAAACCACAUUAAUCCAAGUCAAUCCCAUUAGGAGACUCUCCUGCUGAGAAAAACACUGCAUCAAAAAUGUAGAGAUUUUCUUUAGCUUUACAUAUAAUAGGGCAGCCUACUAUAAUUUUAACUUGAGGAAGUACUACUUGUCAUUCAAGAAAAAAAGAUGAACCUUUAUAUUUGUUUAUGAAGACAUAUCUUGGUUUACUGGAUAGUUUUAUGUCAAUUUGACACAAACUGAAGUCAUCAGAGAGGAGGGAACUUUAAUUAAGAAAUAAAAUGGGGCUGUAGGCAUGCCUGUAAGGCAUUUUCUUAAUUGGUGAUUUACUGGGGAGGGCCCAGCCCAUUGAGGUAGUGCCGUCCCUGGGGGGCUGGAGGUCCUGGGUUCUGUAAGAAAGCAGGUGAACAAGAGUGAAGAGCAAGCCAGUAAGCAGCAGUCCUCCAUGGCCUCUGCACCAGCUCCUGCCUCCAGGUCCCUAUCCUCUUUGAGGUCUUGUCCUGACUUCCUUUGAUGAUGAACAGUGAUAUGGAACUAUAACUCUAGUAAAGCCUUCCCUGCCUAAGGUGCUUUUGGUUGUAGUGUUUCAGCACAGCAAUGAUAAUCCUAACUGAGACACUAGGAUAUAUAUGACUGGGUAUACAAAGACUGUCACUAUAGGAAAACAACCAACACUAUCCUGAGUGAGUGAGUGCUGGUGUGGAGGCCAGAGGUCUACAUUGGCUAUGUUCCUUAGCUGCUCUCUUUUUGAUACAGGCUACCUUAUAGAACUUGGGGCUCGCUGGUUGGGCUGUGUUGGCUGGCUUGUGAGCUCCAGGGAUCCCCCGGUUUCUGCCUCCCAGAACCGGAAUUACAGAGGUUCUGUGUAUAGCUUCUUACAUGAGUGCUGGGCUCUUAACUCAAGGCUACAGCAAGCAUACACUGAGCCAUCACCAAAGCCCCUGGAAUGAAUGACAAUGAGUUUAUAUAAUCUGAUUCAUACCCUGUGACACAUAAAGAGACUUUUCCAGGAAACAGAAAAGACCACUCCUAAUCUCCUUUUUACAACAUCUUAGGGAUGUUGGGUUUGUUGGUUUGUUGUUUUUCAUUUGCUUGUUUGUUUACCUUCCUACCUGCAC